rnacentral:rRNA from 1 species
UAACGCGUGGGAAUCUGCCCUGGAGUGGGGGAUAACCGAGGGAAACCUCGGCUAAUACCGCAUACGUCCUGAGGGAGAAAGAUUUAUCGCUCUAGGAGGGGCCCGCGUCGGAUUAGCUUGUUGGCGGGGUAACGGCCCACCAAGGCUAUGAUCCGUAGCUGGUCUGAGAGGAUGAUCAGCCACACUGGGACUGAGACACGGCCCAGACUCCUACGGGAGGCAGCAGUGGGGAAUAUUGGACAAUGGGCGCAAGCCUGAUCCAGCAAUGCCGCGUGUGUGAUGAAGGCCUUAGGGUUGU